UUUUUUUGAUUUUUUUCAAAAUUUAUUUUUGAAUAAUUUUUGAUUUGUUUUUAUGUUUUAUUCCAAUUUUCAAAUCUUUGAAUUAUUUGACAGUUUAAUCUCUAAUUACUAUCCUCACUGGCGGUCACCCAUCCUCUCACUCCUUCAGCCCGAGCACGCUUAACUUUCUGGUUUUAUCGCCCCUAGUUACCAAAUCUGC
rnacentral:lncRNA from 1 species